CGGCGUCCAGCCACGCCCAGAAGUACAACGCGGUGUUCAACUUCGGCGACUCGAUCACGGACACGGGCAACCUGUGCACGAGCGGGAAGCCGACGGCGAUCACCUUCACGCAGCCCCCCUACGGCGAGACCUACUUCGGCUCCCCCACCUGCCGCUGCUCCGACGGCCGCGUCAUCGUCGACUUCCUCAGUGCGUGCUCCAUUCACUUGCUCAAAUUAAUAUACACUACUUCUUCUUCUUCUUGGUUCUUGCUUGAACAGACAACAGAGUGAGAUUCGACGACGCACAUAUAUAAACAAUGGGAAAUGCACGCAUGCAUGCACGCAGGUACCAAGUUUGGGGUGCCGUUCCUGGCGCCGUCCAAGUCGUCCAACGGCACGGACUUCAAGCAGGGCGCCAACAUGGCCAUCACGGGGGCGACGGCCAUGGACGCGCCCUUCUUCCGCGGCCUCGGCCUGUCCGACAAGAUCUGGAACAACGGGCCCAUCAGCCUCCAAAUCCAGUGGUUCCAGCAGAUCACCUCCACCGUGUGCGGCGACGCCGCCGCCUGCAAGCGGUACCUGCGGGACUCGCUGGUGGUGUUCGGCGAGUUCGGGGGCAACGACUACAACGCGAUGCUGUUCGGCAACUACAGCGCGGGGCAGGCGAGCAGGUACACGACCAAGAUCGUCAACACCAUCAUCAGGGGCGUGGAGAAGGUGGUGGGCAUGGGGGCGAGGGACGUGGUGGUGCCCGGGGUGCUCCCCAUCGGCUGCUUCCCCAUCUACCUCACCGUCUACGGCACCAACAGCAGCGCCGACUACGACACCCUCGGCUGCCUCCGCAAGUUCAACGACCUCUCCACGUUCCACAACAACCUGCUGCAGGCCAAGAUCGCCCGCCUCCGCAAGCGCUACGGCCGGGCGGCGCGCGUCAUGUACGGCGACUUCUACUCCGCCGUCUACGACAUGGUCCAGAACCCAAGCAAAUACGGUAACGCGUCGACCUCCCGACGACAGUCUUGGCUAGCCGUUGAGCAUUUUUCCUGCGGCAAUAAGUCUAACUAACACGCCAGGGACACGACACACAAAGCCACGCGUAACGUGUGGUUGGAUAGAUAGAUUCCGCGUUCGUGCACGGGCUAGCAGAAGUGGACACGGCACUAGUGUCACUGUCGGCAUCAGCAGCAGUGUGGUGCUAGCAGCUACUGCCCACUCUGGGCUCAUGCAUGUCCGUGCAUGUGAGAUUCCUCGAGCCUGCCAGCGACACUCGCGCAUAGAAGAUCUUCAAAUCGUUCCAGAAAAAACAAUCAUUCAAAAAGAAGAUCUUGAGCUAAAUAAUGGCCGAAUAAUCAGUAAUGGUGGAUGGACACCGACUGACACGCCCAACCAACACAUGGCGCCGACCGGGGACACUGUUCAUGCACGUUCUACUAGCAAGAAGAUCUUGAUCCAAUAGGAAGUAGUAGAAACUCACAACGGUGUUGUGCUGUGUGUGUGUGUGUGCAGGAUUCAACGCGGUUUUCGAGGCGUGCUGCGGGUCAGGGGGAGGCAAGUACAACUACGCAAACAGCGCGAGGUGCGGGAUGCAGGGCGCGGCGGCGUGCGCCAGCCCGGCCGACCACCUCAGCUGGGACGGCAUCCACCUCACCGAGGCCGCGUACAAGCACAUCACCGACGGCUGGCUCAACGGGCCCUACUGCAGCCCGGCCAU
rnacentral:lncRNA from 1 species